rnacentral:ncRNA from 1 species
UUGGCACCUCGAUGUCGGCUCAUCACAUCCUGGGGCUGAAGUAGGUCCCAAGGGUAGUGGCUGUUCGCCAUUUAAAGUGGUACGCGAGCUGGGUUUAGAACGUCGUGAGACAGUUCGGUCCCUAUCUGCCGUGGGCGCUGGAGAAUUGAGGGGGGGCUGCUCCUAGUACGAGAGGACCGGAGUGGACGCAUCACUGGUGUUCGGGUUGUCAUGCCAAUGGCACUGCCCGGUAGCUAAAUGCGGAAGAGAUAAGUGCUGAAAGCAUCUAAGCACGAAACUUGCCCCGAGAUGAGUUCUCCCUGAGACCUUGAGUCUCCUGAAGGAACGUUGAAGACGACGACGUUGAUAGGUCGGGUGUGUAAGCGCAGCGAUGCGUUGAGCUAACCGAUACUAAUGAACCGUGAGGCUUAACCUU